rnacentral:tRNA from 1 species
CGGGGUGUAGCUCAGUUUGGUAGAGCGUUGCGUUCGGGACGCAGAGGCCGCUGGUUCGAGCCCAGUCACCCCGA